AAAUGAUGAAUCCAAAAAUUCUAUGGAAUUCUGAAAGAUGGAAAAAUCCUUUUGAUCGAAUCAUAUCAUUCCA
rnacentral:tRNA from 1 species